rnacentral:sRNA from 1 species
GGUUUUCUAUCAGAUGUUCCACGUAAUAAUGCUGGAGUUAAGAAGUUUCCAUUAUUUUGCUCCAAACCAGAAGACUCUGUUCCCUGUAUAUAGAAUAGGAGUAAUAUUUGAAAACAACUGGCUGAUGUUUAAAACUGAAGAUUGUCGUGAUUGUUUAUCCUAAUCCCAAUGCUGAAGUAAGAUUGUCUUGGAAAUACUAAGUUGGGGAACCAGUCAGAAGCAUCUGGAUUAGGCAUUUAGUGAUACAAGGAUCCAGAAUAACAAAAACUAUGUACCAGCCACAUUCACACAACAGGAUUUCUUGUAAAAACCUCAAAAUGGUUAUAAAGUGUAUCACAGAUGUGGUGUUAUGGUUAGUGUGUACUUUGAAAGUAAUGAAUGUUUUUAUGUAAUUAAAUAUCUUUCUGCC